UGGGGAAUAUUGGACAAUGGGCGCAAGCCUGAUCCAGCAAUGCCGCGUGUGUGAAGAAGGCCUUCGGGUUGUAAAGCACUUUUAUCAGGAGCGAAACGCUGUCGGCUAAUACCCGGCGGAACUGACGGUACCUGAGGAAUAAGCACCGGCUAACUUCGUGCCAGCAGCCGCGGUAAUACGAAGGGUGCAAGCGUUAAUCGGAAUUACUGGGCGUAAAGCGUGCGUAGGCGGUUUCUUAAGUCUGCUGUGAAAUCCCCGGGCUCAACCUGGGAAUGGCAGUGGAUACUGGGAGGCUAGAGUGCGUCAGAGGGUGGUGGAAUUCCCGGUGUAGCGGUGAAAUGCGUAGAGAUCGGGAGGAACAUCAGUGGCGAAGGCGGCCACCUGGGACAACACUGACGCUGAGGCACGAAGGCGUGGGGAGCAAACAGGAUUAGAUACCCUGGUAGUCCACGCCCUAAAGCGAUGCGAACUGGAUGUUGGUCUCAACUCGGAGAUCAGUGUCGAAGCUAACGCGUUAAGUUCGCCGCCUGGGGAGUACGG
rnacentral:rRNA from 1 species